GUUAUAUAUAUUUUAUAAAGAUUGUUUAAAAGAUGUAGAAUAUUCGAAGAUGUAGCAUUUUUCUUCCUUUGAAUAUUUGUCUUAAAAUAUAAUCACUGAGUCAAAAUCUAUAAGACUUGUAUGGUCUUCAAUAAUAUUAAUGGCAGCAAUUUAAAUUGGAUUUUAUAACUGUCUUAUCUUGCCCUGAUACUUCUUUUUGCAAGAACAGUCUUUAGAAUUUUUAAUAAAUUUCAGGCAAUGGCUUAAACAAGUAUGGAAAGAUAAGGUCAGAGAAUAAGUGUUGAAGUGAGAUUGGCAAUUGUGAAAAAAAAAAUUGGAAAUAUUUUAAUUGCCAUGUUUAAUAAUUAAUGGUAUGACUGUACUAGUAAAUAGUCACUAAAAAAGAAAAAGAUGCACUGCCGCAGUCCGGCUGCAGCAAAAUAACUGGGGGGUGACGAACAACUUGUGUACGUUGAUACAGCAGGAAUAGGAGCCGUUUAUUGCAGGACAGGAGCAGUAUUUAUACAUUCCACACAGCUUAUCUAAUUAGCAUAAACUAGAUACAUCAGUCAACCAAUAAGGAAUCUCCACACUUAAUGGCUCGCUUUUGUUACUUCUCAAACCACUCCCUCUGGCAUUUUGCCAGGCACCAUCCAGACUUGUUUACGAACUCUAACAUUCCCCUGGCAAAAUGCCAGGUGUUAUUUUGACUUGUUUACAGACUCCAACAAUGCACAUGUUCUGGUACAAAAAAUAUACAAAACAUUUUGUAAAGGAAGCUAAUGGUAUCACAUAACCCAAUUUGAACUUUUGAAACAAUUUUUAUAAUAAAAUAUAUAACUUAAAAUUUAUCAUCUUAACCAUUUUUACAUAUUUUUAAUUUGUUCUGAUUAAUUAUACAUGACAGAAUGCAUUUGGCACAUCAUACAUAAGUGGAGUAUAACUUCUCAUUCAUCUGGUUGUAUGUUAUAUAGAGUUACACAGGUCACAUAAUCAUAUAUGCUCAUGGAGUAAUAAUGGCUGAUUCAUUCUACUAUCAUUCCUCUCCCAAAAUCCCCUCACCCCCUUCACUCCCUUUGUCUAGUUCAAAAUACCUCUGUCCCCUCCCCUAUUGUGAAUUAACAUCCACGUAUCAGAGAAAACAUUCGGCCUUUAGUUCUUUGGAUUGACUUAUUACACUUAGCAUAUUAUUCUCCACAUCCUUGUAUUUACUGGCAAAUGCCAUAAUUUCAUUCUUCUUUGAGACUGAGCAAUAUUUCAUUGGGAAUAUCUAUCACAAUUUCUUUAUCCAUUCAUCUGUUGUUGAAGGGCACCUAGGUUGGUUCCAUAAUUUAGAUAUUGUGAAUUAAGCUGUAUCACUGUAGUAUGCUGAUUUUAAGUCCUUUGGAUAUAGACCGAGGAGUGUGAUAACUGGAUCAAAUGGUGAUUUCUUUCCAAGUUUUCUUAGGAAAUUUCCAUACUGCUUUCUAUAGUGAUUGCACCAAUUUGCAGUCACACUAGCAAUGUCUGAGUGUACCUUUUCCCUUUCCCUCCACAUCCUUGCCAACAUUUUUUGUUUCUUGUAUUCUUGAUGAUUGUCAUUCUGACUGGGGUGAAUUGGAGGUAUGAUAGUCAAGCAGCUCAGAAAGGCAUCAGUAGUUAUUGGGAGUCCUCAGAGCUUCCAGGUUUUAGAGAGUUUAAGAGAAUGCCUCUGACAUUUUUUUCCCUGUAGUUUUCUUUAUUUUGUGCCAGCUCAGAAAAAAGCUCAAGGCAAAUUUUAACAAUGUCUUUGUGAAUGACUUUCAAGAUUUUGCUCUGCUGGAGCAUUUUCUUGGGAGAUGUUCAGAGGCAGGUCCUCAGAGUCAACCACACCAUGGAUAACGUUGAGAUAAUUCUGGUUUGCAAGUACAAGGCUAGCCUGAGCAACUUAGAAAGUCAGUUUCAAAUAAAAACAGCUGGGAAUGUAGCUCAGUGGUAGAGCGCCCCUGGGUUUAAUCCCCAGUAACAUACACACACCCACACCCAAACAACAAAAAUAAAAACUGUAAUAUGUUAAUUUAAGAACAUAGUUUUUCGAGCUGGGAUUGUGGCUCAGCAGUAGAGUGCUCGCCUAUCAUGGGCAGGACCUGGGUUCGAUUCUCAGCACCACAUUAAAAAAAUAAAAUAAAAUAAAGGCAUCAUGUUGUGUCCAUCUACAAAAAAGAUUCAUAUUCUCUCUCUCUCUCUCUCUCUCUCUCUCUCUCUCUCUCUCUUAAAAAAAAGGACAUAGUUUUUCUAUUAGAAGCCUACAAUAAAUUCAGACAUAUGAAAUAUACUAAGUUGCUUUAACAUUCAGAGUAAAGAAUAAUUUUCCAUGUACUCUAAAUUUAGGAGCAAAGAAAUGACAAUCAUAUCUAAAAAGAAUAAGAUAACAAAGUGAUACUUAUUGCAAACAUAUAAAGAAGGCAGGUAUUUCUUAAGAGACCAAUGCCUAUUUUAUAGUUUAUCACCUAAAAUAAAAAUCAUCAUUGUCAGGCAUGGUGAUGCACACCGUUAAUCCCUUCUCAGGAAGCUGAGACAGGAGGAUCACAAGUUCAAAGAUAGCCUGGACAACUUAGUGAGAAUCUAUCUUAAAAUAAAACUGAAAAAGGGCUGGGAAUGUAGCUUGGUGACAAAGUGCUUUCCUAGCAUGUACAAGGCCCUGAGUUCAAUGCCCAGUAACACACACGUACACACACGCAUGCACACGCAUGCACAACACUACAGCAACAUUAAUUCCAAUAAACAUUUAUACACACACACACACACACAAGUAUUCAAAGAUUUGUAAAAAGCAUUACUAUAAAAAUCAUACUAAUUAUAAAAUUUUUACUGUGCUAAAUGGCUAUCUUAAAAUGGUCAUGGAUCCUAGAAAUGCAGGCUCAACUUUCCUAAAAACCAAAGUAGGGCUGCUAUGUAAUUAAGGAUUAAGGAAUUCAAACAGUUAAGACUUUAGCUAACCACUGGAAAAAGAUACAGCAGUAAAAUAUAAUUUUAAUUUUUUCAAUCCAUUUAUAUUACAUUAUGUUAACUUAUAUUAAAUAUAUAUAGAAGCAUAUAAAUUUAUAAGAAAUAAAGUACCAACAAUCAAUAAUUUCAAAAAAAUAUCAAUUUUAUCUAUGACAUUUUUAAUUGGGAUAUGUUAGUCUUACCUCCGAAGUGUAAUCAUCUGCUGUGGUUGAAAUCUCAC
rnacentral:lncRNA from 1 species